GACCCCGGCCGCCCCCGCCCCCGCCGCCGAGGAGCAGCCGGGGCCCGAGGCCGGCGGGUGGAGCAUGCGCGGGAGGGCUCGCGCGUGCCACGCGCCGCGGGUCUGGCCAGUUCCGCGUCCGCAGCGUCCCAGUUUCUUCCUGUGAGCCUGGGGAGUGGCGGCUGCCGAGUCCGCCCCGCUCCUCGCGGGGGCAGGGGGAGGGGUUGGCCUCCGUGCAUUUCCGCUAGGUGGGGACCCCCGCCCUUGCGACCUGUCCGGUACGCCCGGAGGCCUUUUGCAGCGGUUCCAGCUGCGCCUUGACCGUUCCCGGUACGCACGGUGCAGCUGUUCGGCCGUGGCCGGAAGCGGACCUCUGGGUCUCGGUCACGGCUCUGGUGUGAGAAUAAACAAUCAGAAGCCUCUCGUUUGGAUUGGAAGGAACCGAGCGACCUUCCCAAACCUGUACCUUUUACCACGCCUGCCCUCCCCAUUCCCAAGGCUUUCUGUUGAACAGAAGUACCAGAUACGAGGUGCUGGAAGCGCAUAGUUAAGCUUAGUUUCUCUAUCCACAUUCCAAACAACCCGAGUUACCGGAAUUAAUAGGAGUGUGGGUCUGUGUGAGUGUGUGGUGGGGUGUGUUGGAGGUCUAGAAAGGACUAAUCAAUUUACUAAUCAUCCCCCCUUGGAGAAUUUUUUUAAAACUUUUUAUUUUGAAAUAGAUUACAGUUGAAAAUAUACUACAGACCUCUGUGGUCUUUCUCUCCAAAAGCCAUAACCCCUAUCUAACUAUGAGAAAACCAUUUGACAAACCCAAACUGUAGGACAUUAUUUUUAUAAAAUACCUAAACACUACUCAAAGAUAGUACAGAGAGAUCCAAUUUACUCUUUACCCAGUUUCCCCCAAUGGUUGCAUAUUACAUAAUUCUAGUACAAUCUCAAAAGGAGGGAUUUGAUAGUUGUAUGAUGUGUGUAUAGUUCAAUGUCAUUUUAUCACAUGUAGACCUACGCACCAUAGUCAAGAUGCAGAGUUGUAUGUUCUAUAUGUUUUGUGAUCAUUAGGUUAUUUUGGAAAGAACUAGUUUUCCUUAAAAACCUAAUCAAAGAUCUGUUGUGAGGAUUAAGAAUCAUUUGUAAAAUGUGUAGAAGAGCAUCUGACAAGUAUAUACUACGUGCUCAAUAAAAAUUAUAAAAGUUAAUUGCCCUCUCACAUUCAUGCGAACUUCCUUCAGGAAAUCUUCAUGGAUUACCUGAACUACAUCUUAAACUAUUAGCCAUCAGGCUACAUCUGAAACACUUAGAGAUUUGACUGUAUUCCUCUCUUCUUGGGGGUCCCUAAAAUACACUGAAGUUCCUGGGCCUGCCAGAGAGUGACAUUCCUUACUCAUCUGUGGUUCUUUUUUUUUUUUUUUUUUGGCUUUUUUGUUUGUUUUUGUUUGUUUAUUGAGACGGAGUCUCACUCCGUCGCCCAGGCUGGAGUGCAGUGGCGUGAUCUCAGCUCACUACAACUUCUGCCUCUUGGAUUCAAGCAAUUCUCGGCCUCAGCCUCCUGAAUAGCUGGGAUUACAGGCACCUGCCACCACGCCUGGCUAAUUUUUUUUUUUUUUUUUUUUUGUAUUUUUAGUAGAGAUGGGGUUUCACCAUCUUGGCCAGGUUGGUAUUGAACUCCUGA
rnacentral:lncRNA from 10 species